AACGAACGCUGGCGGCAUGCCUAACACAUGCAAGUCGAACGAGACCUUCGGGUCUAGUGGCGCACGGGUGCGUAAAGCGUGGGAACCUGCCCUUAGGUUCGGAAUAACUCCCCGAAAGGGGUGCUAAUACUGGAUAAUGUCUUCGGACCAAAGAUUUAUCGCCUUUGGAUGGGCCCGCGUUGGAUUAGCUAGUUGGUAGGGUAAAAGCCUACCAAGGCGACGAUCCAUAGCUGGUCUGUGAGGAUGACCAGCCACACUGGGACUGAGACACGGCCCAGACUCCUACGGGAGGCAGCAGUGUGUAAUAUUGGACAAUGGGCGAAAGCCUGAUCCAGCAAUGCCGCGUGAGUGAUGAAGGCCUUAGGGUUCUAAAGCUCGUUUACCCGGGAUGAUAAUGACAGUACCGGGAGAAUAAGCUCCGGCUAACUCCGUG
rnacentral:rRNA from 1 species